GUAUCCCAGGACAGUGCUCUGUAACCAGCCCAUAGUAGCUACUGCUAUUUUACCAGCUACUGUAUCUUUCCUUCUUUGAUUUCCAGCACCUGACAGUGAAAAGAGCAAUUUGAAGAAAAACAAAAUUUAUCUUCAAUGUGAAAAGCAAUUUAUAAAAAUCCGAAUACUUGCCAGGAGCAACUUGACAAAAAAGACAAAGGUGGUAGAAGAAAUGUAACCAGCCCACAAUUCCAAUGUUGAUAACAGAUGAGCUCCCUUUCAAGGUGACUGACAUUUACACAAGUACACAGAGCAAGAAGAAGGUCUGAGUGAACUGCCAAGCAUUUUAACUUCUCCUGAGACCAAGUACAUCAACAGUUCUCUUGGAAAAGAACAACUGAUUUGGGAGUCUAGCAGACUGCCAGCUGCAAGACAUUCAUCCAGCAUCAGGAACACAAUGGGCCUUCAUUUGCCUGCCUUUCUGAGGGCACCAAUCAAAAGGAGUCUACUCCUAUGUAAAUCUUCUGCAGGUUGUGCAGUGGACUUCACCUAGUCUCCCAUCUCCAGCUAAUUUGGCC
rnacentral:lncRNA from 1 species